UAAACUUCGUUGAUGAGAACAAGUACGUUUUGAGUUCACUCCUCAGAGAGCCGGCGGCAGCUGAAAGCCCGGUGUGUGAGCUAUUGCGGAAUAUCCUCUCUGAGAAGCGGUGCUGAACCUGCGUAAGCAGCAGUAAGUGCUGACGGCUGUCCCCCGUUACAGGGAACGCGAAUAUUAUGUUCGCGACUAAGGUGCCGCAUGAAGCACAGCUGAAUGUAGCUGUCUGCUCUCAUUAACUUGUUGCUGGUUUUCAGCAGCAGUGCGGAACAAGGGUGGUAACGCGACUAAGCCUCGUCCCUUCU
rnacentral:ncRNA from 1 species